UAGGGGUACAGAUUCGUCCUUUUUAGGGUUCCGUAGCCAAAUGGCAAAAAACGGAACCCUUAUAGAUUCGUCAUGUCUGUCCGCCUGUCCGUGUAUGUCACAGCCACUUUUUUCCGAAACUAUAAGAACUAUACUGUUGAAACUUGGUAAAUAGAUGUAUUAUGUGAACCGCAUUAAGAUUUUCACACAAAAAUAGAAAAAAAACAAUAAAUUUUGGGGGUUCACCAUACUUAGAACUGAAACUCAAAUUUUUUUUUUCAUCAAACCCAUACGUGUGGGGUAUCUAUGGAUAGGUCUUCAAAAAUGAUAUUGAGGUUUCUAAUAUCAUUUUUUUCUAAACUGAAUAGUUUGCGCGAGAGACACUUCCAAAGUGGUAAAAUGUGUCCCCCCCCCCCUGUAACUUCUAAAAUAAGAGAAUGAUAAAACUAAAAAAAAUAUAUGAUGUACAUUACUAUGCAAACUUCCACCGAAAAUUGGUUUGAACGAGAUCUAGUAAGUAGUUUUUUUUUAAUACGUAACCGCAAUUUUAUUAUUAGAUGUAUUCUUCAAACCCAUACGUGUGGGGUAUCUAUGGAUAGGUCUUCAAAAAUGAUAUUGAGGUUUCUAAUAUAUUUUUUUUCUAAACUGUAUAGUUUGCGCGAGAGACAGUUCCAAAGUGAUGAAAUGUGUGCCCCCCCCCCUGUAACUUCUAAAAUAAGGGAAUGAUAAAACUAAAAAAAAUAUAUGAUAUACAUUACCAUGCAAACUUCCACCGAAAAUUGGUUUGAACGAUAUCUAGUAAGUAGUUUUUUUUUAAUACGUCAUAAAUCGUAAA